UGCUGCUUGCCGCCUCUUCCCCCAUCCAGCGAGACCGCGAGACCGCGAGCGCGCGCGCGUCCCUCGCCGCCUCCGCUGGACCCCCACACCGCCACCGCCAUGAUUCUUCACCACACAUCUUGUCAAACAGAAAGUUCCCAGCCACAGCCAAGAGGGAUACAUGUCUCCAGAGCAAACGGAUGACAGACAGCAUCCCACAACGCCUGUCUACCUCGGAAGACUCCCCUUCUCCAUUCCCCCAAGAGCCAACCAACGUCCAAAAGUCAGCUGGAAGCAGUUUUUGAGAGGAACGACGCCCCUAAUCCCAUCUACCUGCUUUUUUUUAUAAUAAGGGAAAGUCUGGGAUGUAAGGUUUUGGUCCUUAUUUACGUCCUUUAAUUACGUCAUCAGCCUUCGCCGGCUUCCCAGCCUAAAAAGCGGUUGAGCCCUCUGUGGGCUCUCUCUCUGUCCCCUCUCCUUUGCGCUCCUUCCCCCCCCCCCCCCCCCGUCGGUCCCCCUCUCUCUCUCUCCCCCCUUCUCUCUCUCUCUCUCUCUCUCUCUCUCUCUCUCUCUGUCUUUCUUUGUCUCUCCCCCCCCCCCACAAUAAAGCUCUAAAAAGGUAACCAUGGCUAAGAUUCUUUCAAUCAGCACGCUCCUCCGCGGGCACGCUCCUCCGCGGGCAUGGCCGCCGCGGGCGGUGACCAGCCACGAGGGGCAGCUCGGCGGCAUAACCAACAGCUAUGAUGAGUCUGAGACAGCAGGCUGGGUGUCCAUCCACAUGCCUAAGUGUUAGAGACCAACUCCGGACAUCUGUGUCCUGGACUUUGUCAAGCCUUGACAAGAGGUUCCUGGCCUAAUUGCAGGGUAUAUGACUAGAUAAAAGCUUCCUGGCCUAACUGCAGGAGAUGCGAUUAGGUAAACUUUUGGAGCCUGUCAACUGCAGGGGGCCCGGGAUCAAAGCCACCUCGCCCUGACCCCUCCCUUAGGAAUUUUCUCUAUCCCUGCUUCCCCUGCUCCCCCUCCCUGCCUGAAGCCCUGCUUAUAAGCCUCAACACCCAGUCAAUAAACGAGACCUUGACGCGA